UUACCAAGUGGAACAGUAACAAGUGCUCCAGAUUUCUUUACCUUCAUCCAGUGGCAGCAUCAAUUGCUUUCAAUAGCACGAUCUCCCUCCUAGACUCCCCUUCUGAUUGGAUGAGCAAACACUCUGGACUUUGAUUCCCCAAUGGGCUGAAUAUUAAGAGAAGAUUCCUGGCUCCAAAGAAGAAGACUACAAUGUGAAUUGAAAAAAAAAAUCCACCCAUUCAUUCAUUCCUUCCCAGCAACAUUCCUUGGCCCACAGCCAGCUACCAUUGGACGUCACCGUCUUAACCAGGAACAUAAUGUACUGGCACCGGGACAAACAUUUAUUAUGGAAAAACACAGUAACAAGCUGAAACAUAUCAGAGAAGCCAGGGGAGAGGGAGCUAAACGGAGAAAAGGAGUUGGGGGCAGAUUGGCAGAAAGUGAAAAACUUUAUCUAUCAAAACCCACAGGGGGGGCACUUUCAUUUUACUUUGAGCACUUAUGCCAGUUACACACAGGAAAGCCUCAGGACCUUGUGGGCUUCCCAGAGAAGAAAAUGAAGUGCGGAUUCUGAAUAGCAGCACUAGAGAAUGCAGUGAAGGUUCUAGGCAGCAGAUCCAGAGUCUUCCACAGUGUAACAGAAAAUGUGGUGUUGCGUCUGGGUGAUAAAGAAGGCUUCCAGCAGUCCCCAAAGAAGCAUCUUCAGGAGGUGCCUGCACAACUUCUUGUUCCAGACAGAGGAACUGAUCCUGGGAGCUGCUGGCCUCCUCCAGGAAGGUGCUGAGAACACUCAACCUCUUUUGAAGCCAAGGGAUUUGAGGUGCUUCAGCAACCUUCAGGACCUGGCCCUAAGCAAUUCUGUGCUUCUUUGAGGGCAGGAGUUUCUCAGAGUUCCUGUUCAGCUCAAAAGAGGAAGAGGGUCUGGGAAAGAGCUUCACACAUACCUCUGCAAUGUGGAGCCAAAAGGCGAUCAUACAUUCCAGAAGCCUGUGGCUUUAUCAGUCACAAGACCAUUCCUUCUUGGCACAGCUUAUGGCCAUCAGACUCACAGCAUUAGUAAGCAGAGUCCAAAAUCCCUAUAAAGUUGAGCGAUUGCAGCCAUCACACACACACACACACGUGCAGGAAAGAAUUCCAGAUUCCAAUAAAACACAACACAGAGGAACUAAUCAGGCUGAAAUUAGGCAAAUAUGGGGAGUAAUAUACCCCAUUCCUGCAUGGAAAAAACCCUGCUCAAAGUGGCACAGAAAGCAAUUCCAUGGGAAUCGUAAACUGGGGCACCAGUGUCCUAGGAAUCUCUCGUAUGUGAUUUUACCUGUAUAACCAGUUAGUUGAGAGUGACUCCAUAGAAUGUCGCUACAGAGAAUUCAGAUUUAUUAAAAUCGAGUGGGUUACCUUUUAUUCAACUCAUUCAAAAGACAUUCACCUCCAAAAAAGUACACCUGUCCAAUUUUUUUGAAAAAUUGGACAUUUGAAAGACAUGGCUGGUCUGUUAAAUAUGUAUAUAGAGCUUUCACUCAAUUUAAUAAAGUCUCUAGAAAUGACAUAUUAUAGGUGUUGUGACAAUGCUCACUGUAAUAU